UCUCUGGAGGACUAGCGGUUAGGCCACGGUGCUCUCACCGCUGCGGCCCGAGUUCGAUUCACGGCCAGGGAA
rnacentral:tRNA from 1 species